rnacentral:rRNA from 1 species
UACGGGGGGGGCAAGCGUUGUUCGGAAUUACUGGGCGUAAAGGGCUCGUAGGCGGCCAACUAAGUCGGAUGUGAAAUCCCUAGGCUUAACCUGGGAACUGCAUCCGAUACUGGAUGGCUUGAAUCCGGGAGAGGGAUGCAGAAUUCCAGGUGUAGCGGUGAAAUGCGUAGAUAUCUGGAGGAAUACCGGUGGCGAAGGCGGCAUCCUGGACCGGCAUUGACGCUGAUGAGCGAAAGCUAGGGGAGCAAACGGG